UAAUGAUUGUACAAAAUAAUAAUAACUUUAAUGCUCAUAAUUUUCAGGUGAUUUAUUUAAUCUUCACACACACCCACAACAAAGGAACACAAAACAGUUCUGUCUGUACUGCAUGAGGACUAUGAGGCAGAGAAAGAAUAUGGGAUCUGCCCAGGGCCAGCAUGAGGUGUCUGGAAUGCCUGGCUGCCAGCCUCAUUCUCAAAAUACAUCACUCCUUUCUAGAGGCAGCAGCUGUUUGUUUGUUCUCUGACACUUAUAGAGCAUCUAAGAUUAUUUCCAUUGAAGAUAAUAAUCUGUCCAGUCCAGUGGGAACAAAAUUGGGUCAUAAAUGUUUAAGCUGAUCUGGUUUCACUGAAGACUCCUGGUAAGCUCAUGGUUGCACACAACACUGUAAUUAUCAGGUUUGAGAAGCUGACUGACAUUCUGGGAAGGCUGGGGCAAUAGGCCUUUGUUUCAACACAAGAGGGGCCGAUCUCCUGGUCGGUGCAAUUCCUGUAGCCUGAUUUGUUCCUCGUGCAAGGAAAAGGCAAGCGUUUCCCAAACCCAUGACUGAUGCAUGCACUGGAGACAUGAAAGUGCAAAGUCUUGGGAGUUAAGGCUUCCUCUAGGAGGUUUGCACUUUCCUCUACAUUCAGUUGUGUGAUGGGCUUGUCUGUCCCAUGAGAAUGGGGACAUAGUGGAGUCCUAGGGAAAGUGGCAAAGAAGGGGGUGUAGACAGGAGGAAUUGUCCCAGCAAGCAGGAUCCAGACCUGAAGCCACAGGAGAUUGAGCAAAUGUCCUCAUGAAGCUGCCCAGUUUUUCUUCCUGUUUAGACUGAAAAACAUAUUGGCCUCAUUUUCAUCUCACUAAGAUCAGCUUUGCAAUCUUUCAAAUCCAGUUUUGGCUGAGUGACGUCACAGUUAAAACUGAAUAAAGAAGAGGAGAAACUGA